GACGAACGCUGGCGGCGUGCUUAACACAUGCAAGUCGAACGGAAAGGCCCUGCUUUUGUGGGGUGCUCGAGUGGCGAACGGGUGAGUAACACGUGAGUAACCUGCCCUUGACUUUGGGAUAACUUCAGGAAACUGGGGCUAAUACCGGAUAGGAGCUCCUGCUGCAUGGUGGGGGUUGGAAAGUUUCGGCGGUUGGGGAUGGACUCGCGGCUUAUCAGCUUGUUGGUGGGGUAGUGGCUUACCAAGGCUUUGACGGGUAGCCGGCCUGAGAGGGGGACCGGCCACAUGGGGACUGAGAUACGGGCCAGAGUACUACGGGAGGCAGCAGUGGGGAAUAUUGCACAAUGGGCGGAAGCCUGAUGCAGCAACGCCGCGUGCGGGAUGACGGCCUUCGGGUUGUAAACCGCUUUCGCCUGUGACGAAGCGUGAGUGACGGUAAUGGAUAAAGAAGCACCGGCUAACUACGUG
rnacentral:rRNA from 1 species